rnacentral:lncRNA from 1 species
UUCAAAAGUAAAAUUUAUAUGACCAUGUUCCAUAAAAUGGAGGUUUUCCAAUGAAAAGGGGGGGGGAUGUAAUAUUUUCCAGCAAUUUUUAAUUUGUGAAUAAUUCUGACAUAUGUAUUUAAUGUACUUAAAAUGAAAAGAAAAAUUACUAAAAGCAUACCAUUUAAGAAUAAAAGGGUCACCUGAAACCAAGUAAGACUG